AAAAAAUAACACGCUUUCAGAGAAACCAAGAUUUCCCUCUGAAAUGGAGAAGAGACUUCGCUCGUCUCUUCGAUCCUCAGCCGAAGAAUUUCUUUCCUCCGCCGGAAAAAUCAAUUUGAAAUCUUCAAAAUCAACUCUCAAAACCUUAAUCCACGCCAUCCCAGCUUCUUCUCCCCUCUCCUCCUCUCUCCCUCUUUCCCUCCACCGCUCCAUUUCCGACUCCAUUCUCUCUUUCCGGAACCUUCUAGAGCAUCCCCCACCUCCCUCCCCAGACCUCGCCAAGUCCCCUCCCUCCAAGCGCCUCCGCCGGUCCUCCCGGAAAAAUCAACCUAAUUCCCAAAAAAUUGAGUCCAAUUUCACCUGCGAUAAGCAAGAGACUCUCGAGAAACUCCAAAUUCUCGCUCACAUCGUGUUUCUAUGUGUUUCGCAUCCCAAAAAUGCGUUUUUACCCUCGGAUUUGUUACCUGCAGUUCAGUCAUUGCACGAUAAUUUGGUUCUGUUUGAAUCGGAUUCCAACUUGUUAUUGGAAACAGCGAGCUUGUGUGAAGUGUAUUGGAAGGAGAAUCUACCAGGUCGAGAAAUGCUCAUUUCUCAGUCUCUUCCGUUCUUGGUUUCUAAGUCACUGACUUCGAAAAGGAAAGUGGAUGUUCAUAGGGUGUAUGCCCUGCGCGAGGCUUUCGCCUUGUUGGAUUUCGAAGAUGAGAGCAUAGAUGACUUGAAGCUGUUGUUGAUGCGAUGUGUCAUUGCGCCUCUGUAUUUGAAAACAGAGGAUGGAAGGCGGUUUCUAGCGUUUAUGGUCGGGUUGAGUAUGCAAUUACUGAAGGAGGCAUUAGCGAUGAUGAGGUCGCAGAUUCCGUUCGGGAGAAAGUCCAUUUUGGAGGCGUAUGGGGAGGUUUUAUUCAGGGCGUGGAAAUCAGCCGGAGGGGAAUUGAAGAAUGAGAUUGAGAAUGGAUUCUUGCAGGGUUUGAUUGAUGGCGCAAUUCACGCGAGUUCCGGUGUGUUUGGAGCUUCUAUUAGGAGGAUUUUGGGAGGGUUUGUUAGCCAAAGAAUUACUGAUGGGGUGGAGAAAUUGCUUUUUCGUCUUGCUGAGCCUGUUAUAUUCCGCUCGUUGCAGGUUGCAAAUUCAAAUGUUCGUCUUAAUACGUUGCAUUUACUUUUAGAUUUGUUCCCCCUUGAAGAUCCUGAUGCAACAAAAGAAGUUAAAGAUACACUGCUUGAAAAACAGUUCUUUUUACUAGAGAGAUUGCUCAUGGAUGAUUGUCCAAAUGUUAGAGUUGUUGCAGUAGAAGGUUGUUGCCGUGUUCUUAGUUUGUUUUGGGAAAUCAUACCUCCAUCAACCAUUACAAAGAUACUCACAAAAAUUUGUGAUGAAAUGUCACAUGAUAUAUGCAAUGAGGUUAGGCUCUCCACGUUGAGUGGAAUUGUCUACUUGCUUGGAAAUCCACAAUCUCAUGAAGUUAUGAAAGUGCUUCUACCAAGAUUGGGGCAUUUGAUCUUGGAUAAUGUUCUUUCUACUCGUGUUGCUAUUAUGGAUCUCCUCCUUUUUAUAAGAGAUAUUAAAACAUUCCAGUUUAACAAGGUUGUGGGUUUAGAUGUGUUAUUGUCAACGCUCGCAAAUGAUCAGCCUCAAGUUGCUCAGAAGAUAACAAGAUUGCUUAUACCAUCAUACUUUCCCUCAAAAGUAAGCAUUGGAGAGGCAUGCAAUCGUUGUGUUACUCUUAUCAAAAGGUCUCCCAAGGCAGGGGCAAAGUUUUGUGAAUUUGCUGUGUCAGAAGGGGCAUCUCUUAAGUCUCUCAUGGAACUUGUCAAAGCAUUGAUAAAUUUGGUUUUAUCACUUGAAAAGCUGGAUGCAGAUCAAAUUGAGGGUUUACUUGCUGCUGCUUCCUCCCUUUGCAAUAGUCUAGUGGGUGAGCCAUGUUACAAUGAUGCCCUUAAAGAGUUGUUUUCUGGUGGAAAAGUAAAGUGCUUGUUUGCUGCUGCAUCAACUGGGUGUGCUCAAUCAUCUGUAUUCAACAUUUUUUCUGCUGUCUGUCCAGAGGAUAUGGCUAGUCUUGUCGAAGAAUGUAUGCACGUCAUCACUAACUGUAGUGGAAUAUCUGAGAAUGUUGAAUUGCAAGCUGAAGUGAGGUCUGCCCACAAAUUGUUGCUGUCAUGUGAUGGUUUUGAUGAUAUGUUUGAGGCUCAAACAAAGCUUUUGCAAAAAACUGCCUAUCGAUGCCAUGUUAAAUUUGGGAUUGAAUUGCCAAAGCAGAGAAUUUCUUCUGGAAAAAGGAAGAAAUGCAAUUCAGUCAAAAUUUCAGCCAAGUGGAAACAUGUUAGUGGGAAAAAUGCAUCUGAUUUUGAGGAGGAUUAUUCAAUUGCUGUAGGAAUAGGCUGGCAAAUAAAAGACUUUCUUGUUUCUGAGGAUACUCGGAAAGCUGUACUAGGGUCUCAAGCUCUAGAACUUCCAUUUCUUGCUUUAAAGGUCAUCUCCGAGGUCAGCAUUUUGCAAUGUGUCUGCUGUGAAUAUAUGGAAACUUCUCCUCUUUUGGCAUAUACUGCUCUUGCCUUGCAUAUGACUCUUCAAAAUAUAAACAUUAGAACAAGUGAAUGUAGUGCAAAGAAGAAAGACAGAACCGACUCUUCAUCAGUUCUGGAGAGGACAUUGUUGGAUGAGACAGUAGAUCACCUGCUUAACUGUACUGAGAAGCUGCUUGCAGCAGAUGAUGCUGGAACGUCUGGCAAUUUACCUGCAAACUCAAAACAAGAUAACAAGAAGGUCAAUCAGGCAGAAAAGCAAAAGAAGCCUCAAAGAGAUGCAUCUGGCUCAAAUACUGAUGGAUCUCCUCAAGAUAAACAAAAGAUGACGUCAAAAAAGGUGAAGAUGCUUACUGCAGUUCUCAAGUUCAUUGUUGAUUCCACUGCAAUGGGCUUUCUUUCUCACCUUAACAGAAGGUGCUUAAGUUUUACAUCAUCAUAUGUAAAACACGUCAUCUUUGUCUUGGGACAACAAUAUUUUGAAGGACAGCAAUUUAAGGAGGAUAAUUUGAAAGACAGUAUUAUCUGUCUGAAGAGCUCUUUUAGCUACGCAGCCAAGUUACUCAAUCUUAUACUUAAAGACGCUACUGAAGCUUCACCACCUCCACAAGAAGCUUUUGACCUGGCCAAUGAUAUGCUUGACCUAAUUACCUCAUUUGAAAUCUAUUUGGGCUCUAGUUUUGCUGCACACCUUGCUGCAGUUGCAAAGUCUUGGCUGCCUGAUUUGAUUCUUGCAUUGGGCUUAGGGGGCAUACUUAGACAUACUCCAGUAGAAAGCACAUAUUUGACGGCAUUAUCACAUGUUAAGCUCCAUUAUCCAUCUUGGCCUUUAAUUUUGGCGAAGGCUGAGCUCUUUGAAAUGAAAGAAGUUAAUCCAGAUGAGGAUGAUCAUGAAGUUUCAGAUCCAGAGGAAUUUCCCAUGUUUAAGAAAUUUAUGGAAAUGAUAAUUCCACUGUUGAAAAGAAAUCCUAACAUACUGGAUGCUGUUGGAGUGAUUUUCUUGACCCAUUCAGUUGUUGGCCUGGAAAGGAAGGACUUUGCGUUGGUGCUGGGGCUCCUGCACUUUGUCUGUGUAAAGUUAGUUGGCCAAGAGGACAAAACUUGGAAUGAACUUGAUAUGAUGCUGAGUUCUCUGCCAGACAUUUACCCUCAGAUUGAAAGAGAAAUUGAGGAACAAAGCAAUGAAGAUGUAAGGCAGAAAUUACUUAGUGCCAGGGUAUUGCUUGAACCUGUUUGGUUGUACCAUAGUUAUGAAACUGGGAGGUUUACUGUGAUGGAAGAAUAGAUAGAAUUAUUUAUGUUCCACCUGGCCAAGAGACUAGAAUAAUUGUAUAUGGUUCUGAAGAUGUGGAAAGAAUUUAAAAAUCAUUACUUGUUUUCCUCGCGAUGCUGCCAUUGGGUGAUCACAGGCUUUGUUCUUUUUUGAUAUUGCAGGCCUGAUUACUUGGAGCAUCUUCUAACACCAGCUAAAAAUGAGUGUCGUAUGUUCAAACAGGAAAACAAG
rnacentral:misc_RNA from 1 species